GGAGGCUUCUGAGGCACUGGCACAGGCUGCCCAGAGAAGCUGUGGAUGCCCCAUCCCUGGCAGUGCUCAAGGCCAGGCUGGCUGGGGCUUUGGGCAACCUGGGCUGGUGGGAGGUGUCCCUGCUCAUAGCAGGGGGGCGGAACCAGGUGUUCCAUAAGGU